rnacentral:rRNA from 1 species
UCUAUUUGAAGAUAUAAAAAGUCUGACCUGCCCACUGAUGUUUUUUAAAGGGCCGCGGUAUUAUGACCGUGCAAAGGUAGCAUAAUCAUUAGGUUUUUAAAUGGAAUCUUGUAUGAAUGGUUGAGCAAAAGAGUAACUGUCUUUAAAUAAUAUUUGAAUUUAACUUUUAAGUGAGAAGGCUUAAAUAUUCUAGAGGGACGAUAAGACCCUAUAAAGCUUUAUAUUAUAAUUAUAUUUUAUUAAAUUUUUUUAAUUAUAAAAAUUUAAUUUAAUUAUUGUAUUAUGUUGGGGAGAUAAGAGUAAAAUUUUAAAUAACUGCUAAAAAAAAAGACAAUUAUAGGUGAUUAAAAUAAAAUAAAAGAUCCUAAAUAUAGAUUAAAAGAUUAAGUUACUUUAGGGAUAACAGUGUAAUUUUUUUUGAGAGUUCAUAUCGACAAAAAAGUUUGCAACCUCGAUGUUGAAUUAAAAUAUCUUUAUAACGUAGAUGUUAUAUUAGAAGGUCUGUUCGACCUUUAAAUU